AGUUUAUGAACUUGAAUAAGUAUAUAUUUUGAAAAUAUAAAAAAGAAUAAAAUUUCUAUUAACUU
rnacentral:tRNA from 1 species